UUUGCUGUUUCUUGGGAAAGUAAGUGACGUUUUUUGUAUUUUUCCCAUAUUUCAGCAUUUGAAAUGGUUGAAGAUUAUUGUAAGAGUAUUUUAAAAAAUCUAAGUUGCGAUGUUUUAUCGACUAUAAAACCGACAUUGAAAAUCUCAACGGCAGACGCACAGAGCUGGCAUGUUUUUAGUCCGUACGAAUUCACAGCAGGUACAACUUUGCUCUGUGUAUAGCGUGUAUGUAUGUAUGUAAAACUUUAUUUCAAUACGCUAACUUCGACAAUUAUUUAGAACUGGUUUCCACGAAGGGCGUAUACACACAAAGAGCUAAAUGUUAAUUAUAUAUAAAACAAAGUAUGUAAGAAUCCCA